UUAGUAAAAGCAGCUACCAAAUCUUUAGUAGCAAAAACAUUGGUAAAAUAUACACAUUUUUUGUAAAUAUUACUAAAAUUGCGUAAAAAAGAUGUCAGACGCAAUGAAUGUUCCUACCAGGAAUUCGUAUAUUUUACUUCAUACCAUUAGUAUGUUUGUUUUUAUUGUCAUACCUAACAACUGUGAUGUGCGCACUUUGUCUUUUGUCUUUUGGAGACGAAGCGAUUCGGAGUUGACCUUAAAAUUAUAUGCAGUACAAUCAUUCAUCAUAAACAAAUCGGAGAUAAGUAUUCGUUUUUUUUACAUCAUUACAUCAGUCACCUCGGUCGGGAAACUAUUUUCAUAUUCCCGCCAAGGAUAAACAUCAGUUAUAUUCUAUACAUUACAACACUUUUGACCUUUUUCCUUGUCUUUACAGCUGGCAUGAUCCCAGACUCGUAAUACUUAUUUACCAAAAACCAUCCAAGUUAUGGGAUUGAAGGUAACGGCGAGUUUGUCGCUAAGAUUGGAAUCUUUCUUAAACACAUCAUCGACCGUAAAAAACUUAAGGGACACGAGAGAACAAAAUACAGAUGAAACGUGCUAAUUCUACCGUCACUCUGCUAAUCAGCUGCUUAUCAGCUAAUGCAAAUCAGAGCGAUGCAGCAGGAAGAGGAACGGGAACUUGCUUUGG